rnacentral:misc_RNA from 1 species
UUUCCGUAGGUGAACCUGCGGAAGGAUCAUUACAGAGUUCAUGCCCUCACGGGUAGAUCUCCCACCCUUGAGUAUUUAUACCUUAGUUGCUUUGGCAGGCCGUGGAAACACCAUGGGCUCCGGCUAUGCGUGCCUGCCAGAGGAAACAAACUCUGUUUUUAGUGAUGUCUGAGUACUAUAUAAUAGUUAAAACUUUCAACGACGGAUCUCUUGGUUCUG